rnacentral:tRNA from 1 species
GAGGGUAUAGCUCAGUGGUAGAGUGCAUGGCUAGAAGGCAUGAGGUCCUGGGUUCAAUCCUCUGUAUGUGCA